UGAGACUAGUUAACGAGCAAAUGUUAAAAUAAAUAAACAUUCAAAUAAACAAUCCACUCUCUUCCUUCUUCUUCUUUCUUUUAGAGGUUCGGUGCUUUUCAAGAAGGCAAAAUUGGAGUUUGACUCUCAGAUCAUAAAUCUCGUCGAAGAUGGAGAAUCAGAAAUCGACGGUGGAGAUUCCAAAGAUUCGAAAUAAGAGGAGAAGCUCCACCAAUCGUUUCUGUUUUAUCCAACAAGGGAUGAGUCCGAAAUAUUGAGAGGAAGAUUGUGUCGUGUGGGAGAUGAGAAGACGUUUCAGAGAUGAAAGCUGAAGAAAAAGGCUUCACCAUUGUUCUCGCUUCUUCUUCUUGAACAUAAACCUUAUAUAUGUUUGGGUUUGUGUUAAAUUGUUAGUAAAGUAGCACAGCCCCGUUGGUGAAGUAACUAUUAUUCUUAGGAAGAGGUGAAGUAGCACAUCGUUUUGUACAUUAACAGUUCUCAGUAACCAGCUAGUUAACAUCGUGUAAUUGUUUUGUUUACCUAGUUAACAUUGUGUCUCAA